GCAGUCGUGACCGAGUGGUUAAGGCAAUGGACUAGAAAUCCAUUGGGGUCUCCCCGCACAGGUUCGGAUCCUGUCAACUGCG
rfam:Ixodes scapularis strain Wikel colony gcontig_1107728794712, whole genome shotgun sequence.